AAAAUCUAUUCACAAUAGCUAUUUGUUAGUUAAUAAUUUGAUAAAAUUUUUACUCUCAUUAUAAUAUUGUGAAUAACACAAGCUAUCUGCGGUAUAUUGAUGUAUAGUGGUCUCUUUUCAACCUUUUACUUUUAAAAGUGCAUUCGUUUAAAGGCGGCUUUGUAUCUUUUGGAUCGCCUAGAAGUUGACGUUCACUUUUGCAUCUGUAUUAUGUAUAUUGUCAACAAACAAUUACAACAAUAAUCGUCUCUGAAAUUCGAUUUUUUAAUUACGUUCGCUUUCGUUCUGCUUUACGCCUUCUUCACCAACCAACACAACAACGGUUAGUUUAUUCGUUUCGCUAAGUUAACUUAUUUAAGUUACAAGCCCAUCGCCAGUGUGUAUAUAGUGUGCGCGUGUAUUUAUCUAUAUUAGGCAUUCAAUGCCACAGAUCCUUACAAAAGCCACAUAGCAUUACCCCAGCAAGUAUAUGAAGAAUUUUUCUUAAAUUCUAUAUGCUUUAAUUAAUCAGAGAGUAAUAAAAAGGAAUAAUAAAAAAAAAAAAAAAAAAAAAAAAAAAAAAAAAAAAAAAAAAAAAAAUAUUAAAAAAGUGGUUGCAUUGAAGUUAAGAAGACGAAAAAAGAAAACGCGACACAAUAAGGGUGUUUUCGAUAAUGCUUCACAUCACGACAGUGUAGCAAAUUUUCAAAAAAAAAAAAAAAAAAAAGAAGUAAGCAAAUUGCUGCUACAACCACCGAGCAUACAAGGCAAACUUGCAAUGUGACAACUGCAAGAAGAUAUAUAACAACAACAACAAUAACAUACAACAAGCAAUAACGGCAAACAUCUGAUUACAUUCAAGAAAACAAUCAUUUUUACAUGCAACGCUAUACAUAUAAUCAACGAAAUACAUCGCAAUUAUUGGAAAAAGAUGUUUUCUUCUGGGUUUCAUUUAAUGUAAGUUUUUAAUUACCUCUGACGUAUGCGUAUGGGUGUGAAUUCAAAAUGAGCAUACCGCUCGUAGAUGUAGAUUGCGGCGACUGUGUUAUAUACGCACGAAGUGCAUGACAGUAGAAAAGUUCUCAGAUAUCGGUUAAUUGGAAACGUCAUUACUGAUAUUUAUCACUUAUCACUUAAAGCCAUCAAUUCGCAUUUUAUGCUACUCAAGCAAGGGGAGUGGGUGACAUGCACAAGCUUAGGAAUUGCGUCCCGAACAUAUUUCGAAUAACUUUUAUUCAUUUCCUCUAUACUGACCGCUAAACCGUUGCGUGGUUUCUUCGAAAUGAUAUCAAGAGAAAGUAGACAACCGCAACAACGAAAGCUUAGGAACCUGUCUUCGAGUUUAUUCGCACUGAGAUCGAGGGAAAGUAAACAAUUGCGAACAAUGUUCGGCUUUCAUGAAAAAAGUUCGCAAUUUCAAUAAAAAUGAAGGGUUAGAACUCUAUCCACAGACAUCUUAGACCAGCUUAUCGUCAAAAAAGAAACAUUCAUGACACAAUGCCUGCCAUGAGUCUAUCCUUAAAUAUUCUUCACAAGACGAAUAUAGUUUUCAUGGAAAAAGUUGAACGAAGAGUUGUUCAGAUCAGACAAAUUAUCAAGCAUUAACAGAACGAUGUCCACUUGCUUUGUCUCUCCUUAAAACUCCUAACUUAAUACAAAGUUGCCUUGUCCCGCUUGUUGGUACAGGUUAUAUUAUGUUUCUGCGUGAAGCGGUUUAUGAGCAGUGGUUGAAAAGAUCCGAUCCAAAACUUUUUCAAUAGCGUUCGUUCUUCGAUGAAAAUACAUCGGUCUGCCCAAUUUCAUCAAAAUAUCUUAAAAAAUUUAGGGAACUGUACACCAAUUGAACAUCAAAAAACAAAAAAAGUAUGGACGGAUAUCAGAAGCAUGAACGAACAGAUAAUCCUAGUGAAGGAUUUGGAAUAGGCCCAUCGUGUACAUACGUACAUACAUACAAUUGAGCACAACAACGCGUUUUCAUCUAGGGGUACACGCUAUUGACCACUAUUUGGAUAGCAUCUUCUCGAUCAGUUCCCAUAUAAUCUUGUGUUUUGAAAUUUUACAUGACUAACUGUAUUAAACCAAGUGGUGUAUUACAUUUAAAGGCGCCCCUUGGCUAAUUACAAACAUUUUAGUUGUCUUUCACUAAAGUUGCCACUUAAACUUUGCCACUUGCCACUUUGUGUUUAAAAAACUGCCUGGUUGAGUAGCAAGCCGAAGACGCUGAAGCCCAGCCUAUGAGCACAGUUUGCUAUGAAUUUACUUGAACCCACACCACCCACACAUAUACACAGUCUUUCCCACCUAUAACCAUAGUACUUUUUCUACGUCUUGAAUCUCAUUUUUGGAAUUCGGUUUUUAUUUAUUAGCUGACGAACAUGAAAUGCAUACACUUAACGUAAAAUUGUUUAUAACAAAUCUUUAGAGAAACAUCAAGUAUGCGAGAACGACAUAGUUUCGAAAAAUGGAUAUGCAUAACUGAGCAAGUGCACAUGUACUUAUGCGUUAAUAAAAUUUAAUGCACUCCUUUCAUUCGUUGACCAAGUUUUAUCCUUUGCACUUUUCACUCUGAAUUUUACAUACCACGGUUUUAUUUUUUUUUAGUAUCGAAAUUUUGA